rnacentral:pre_miRNA from 1 species
AAUAAGUGCAGCCGUGGAUAUCCGUACCCAACGUUUGACCGUCUGUCUUAUUUGAAAAAUUUGUGAAAAAUUUGAAAAUAUUUAGUCACACAUAGAGUACUAUUCAUGUUUUAUCAUCUAAUAGCAAUAAAAAUACUAAUCAUAAAAAAUUUUCAAAUAAGACGAAUGGUCAAAUGUUAAACGUAAAUAGUGUAAAACUACACUUAUU